GGGGACAUGGUCUAGUGGUAUGACGGAUCCUUAGCAUAGCCGGAGCAUCUGCUUCCGUGGCUUGGAUCAGGUCCGGGGUUCGAUUCCCCGUGUCUCCA
rnacentral:tRNA from 1 species